UUUUUUUUUUUUUCUAAUAUGGAUCAGAACGGAAUGCUUAUAGACCCAAAAUAAUCAUAUAGACUUUAGUUUAUGUUUAUGGGUUGGGCUCUCAAAAUCUCAAACACAUGCAAAUCAUAAAGGCUAUUUUCACAAUUAUCAAAUGAGUCAAAUCUGCUUCAACUAAGCCCUUUUGAGCUCUCUGUUUGUGGAGAUUAGGGAUUUGGGGAGUUCAUCUGUCCUUCUUAACCGACUAUGAGCGAUGAGUGAAUCUAAAGCCGGAAUAACAAAUUCACUUGUGAUUGAGACGCAUUUGUCUAUUACAAUCCCUUACAACUGUCUACAAGGUGAGCAAGCUUUAAUUAAAACCUUAUAAAGGACUCUUCUCUGUGCCACCGUAAACAGUUUAUUACGAAAGACUAAAUUGAGAGUUCCUACUUGUACGACUUGUAUGCUAUGACAUCUAAUUAAAUCGAUCACUCAUUGAUCCAUCUUAUUUUCACAAGGUACGUGAAACUCUGGCUACUGUGCCAACUUUUACUGAUCUACUGAUUUUCGUUCUCUCCGGAAUGCACAUAUCUAAUCAAAACAUGAACAAGGUUUUUAGACUAAAUGAAAUUGCAAUUCUCCUUUACUAUGUGCGAUAUGAAAUUUUUGUUUGGAGAAAUGAAGUUAGAAAAGACUAUAAACAAAAGGCUUCGAUUGUACAAUGAUUGAUUGUACUGUCAAUUACUUUUUUUCCCCAACUUUUAGUUCCUGGCUAGCUUGGAUGUGAAUCAUUUUGACUCGGACCUUUAUGAACAGAAGUUCCAAAACUCCCACUGACCAGAUUUAUUUAAAUGAAAUAUACAAUAAAAGAGGGAUUAUAAUCAUGCCAAAUAUCUUCUGGAUCUUUUCAUAUUAACCUCAAUCGUAAAGUCAUGGAUGGAGGUAAUGAAGCACGCAUAAGAUAAUUAGGGAUGAAAGUGGAUUCGGAAAUGCAAGAAGAUAAUGACAUUUGUAGCAAAAUAUGGCAACCGCUAGUUAACUAUAAACAAGAAAGAGAUACAAGUGAUUAACAAACAUUAUUAUAACUUUUGAGAAAUAAUAUCCCACAACGCAAAAAACAAAUAAAUAAGGACAACUGAGGCCUUAUCAUAGGAGGGUAAUGGAUUUAAGAUGUAACAUCUAUGUAAAUGCUGCGUUGCAAUCGAUCAAUUCUACAUUGGAACAUCGUUGUUAGCUAGUGCUUACAGCACUAAGAAAAAGAAUGAAGGGUUUAUAAAGGCACUUUGAGAUCUUUGCAAGGGGAUCGAAUUGAGGUGUUAUCUUUAGCCUAACUUCAAUAAUUUUAUGGUCAUGAUUUUGUCUUAGGAUGUUUCCUUUGUUCGUUGAAGUACACACUUAGAUUGAUUUUUCCACAAUAAUUAAUUAUUAAAGAAUAAACCGGCCGGGGAGACGCUUAGCUAUCAUUGAUCAUUAAGCUAUUCAAGUUCAACCCCCUCAUGAUCAUUAGCAUCAAGUGGGAAAUCUUUUCUAUCUUCAUUCCCGAUAAGUUCUUAGGUACCUUAUUAAGAAGAAGAUAAUUCAUCAACAACAAAAUGAGAGUCGGAAAGAUGGUUAUGAAUUACGGGAGAACAGCCUCUUGCACUUCUCUGGUCGCCUCGAUUUUUGCCGAAGUGUAAAAAUGAUCGUCUUUGAUGGAAUCGUUCUCAAUUUUUUUUUUUUUCAUGCAACUUUGGUUUUUAUUUUAUUUUAUUUUUUUUAAAGGAUUUGGAACCCAGAUGUAGGUAGUCAUUGUUUCGUAGCAUGUUAUUCACGCAUUGUAAUUAAUUAGUGGAAAUACUUUAACCGUAAUGACGAAAAGUAUAUAUAGGCAGCAUAGAAGGACCUAGACAGAGACACAAAAUCAACCUAUUUAUGGGCAUGCAGCUCCACGAAAUACAUAAAAAAAUAUAUCAAAAUAUCACAACAGAAACAACACUAAGUUUUUUUGAUCCAACUAUCUUUGCUAGUUGAUUAACUAAUUAGUUCUUAAUGCCCUACUUUACAAAAUAUUAAACUCCAUAGAAAUCUAGAAAAGAGAGGGGAGUGGAUUACCCAGAUUUUUACUUGAUCGAUCGAUCGAUCAUCCAAUCCAACCAAGGUGGUUUCUACUGCUCGGUGGGGAACACUGGUUUCUCUAUAAUUACACAGAAUUAGGGUUUCAGUGGGCUUCAGUGGGUGGGUUUGGCACUAGGCGAUCAGGAUUUGUGGGCCCCGGAUGAAUCAUUGCCAGGCCAAUAAAGCUCCACAUGUCACAUCACAGAAAAGGAAUCGGGCCCCACUUGUUAUCAUGCAGCGUCUGGUUUUUUUUCUUCCUAGCGGGAACCCUAGAAACCCCGUAGAGAAAGCCAUGACAUUUCGUUACUGUGUCGGUUUUUGCAGUUGGCCUCAUUACCAGUUAUAACCGCUGCUGUUUAGAUUGCCGACCCUCCCGCUCUCCUUUCUAUUUUCGGCUAACUGGUUCUGUUACUACUUCUGUAAUAUUCCUGAGGGCUGGUGGUGAAAGCUUUGUUCGUAGUGCCAACAGCUAGCAGCAUUCCAUCAAUCUUUUACUUCAAAACGUUGAUCACACAAGAGAGAGAUGCCAGCGGACGACGACGAUUAAGAUGUGGUCCGAGUAUAGUACAGGGGUGGAUGGUAAUGUGGUUUUUGGCUUGAUGAGAAGGUUGUGACAAGAUAUAUACAGAUCACGGAAAUCUAGCUUUCAUUCGUCAGUAGCCUUCUGAUCAAUGAGAUGAACACACUCAGCAGUUCAUCCAUUACUGAAAGUUUUUUGUUAAUUAAGAGACAUUUGACCUCGAUGUAAGAAAGGAACGAAACAGGAUACCCUGAAACAGCUACAAGCGUAUACUGGAAUGCUUCAAGAAUGGGAGAAUUCUAUUUCAGCAUACUUUACCAACAGAUUUCUUAGCAGUCAGCACCAAGAACUCCUCUAGACACAACUCAUUUCAAACGACUACUGCAAACUCACUAAUCUAAUCAAAUCUCUAACUAACAAAACUUCAUUGCUCCGUACGUAGAAAAAGAAAAAAAUUAAUCAGCAAUUCCCCCACUCAACCCAUAAUUGGCAAGGCACCAGAUGGUGCCAUUGGGUCCAAGACACCAGAUGGGGCAGUGGAAAAAAGUAUACAAGUAACAACGACUUCUAAAGUUCUAAUCCCCACCCAAGCUAACUCGAUCGAUCGGUAGCCUUGAUGAUAGACUGCCAUAACCUCUGCUACUGCCGAACUAGCAAUAUUAAAACUAGAACAAAACGCAUCAAGAACUCCAUCUUUAAAAUCAAGAAAUACGAGGAGGAUGUUAAGCACGAACUUAUUGACUUUUAGCCAACCAAUUAUAUGGGGAUGUCAAUUAGUUUCCAAAAUAUGCAUGGAGCUUAAUUUACGACGCUAGCUUGCAAGAUGGAACUACUUUUCAAAUUGGAGAUGUAAGUUUUCAUUUGAAAUGUGCAAUCGGUUCUCUUAUCUAUAUAUGUAAGAUCACUUUCGUAUGUCCACAUUUCGUAUAGUACGUUUUUUUCAUUACGUACAUCUGCAAAGUUUUUGAUUGAACGCCGGUUUCGGUCACGUCAGGUACUACCUCUCAGGUAGGUUUAAUUUGAUUUCAUUUGUCGUAGGUUUAAAUAUGCAUAUUUAUAUUGGGUCCGGUUUAGGAGACGUAAUUUUUUACACAAAUUUUAAAAUGCUCGACGGUUCAGAUUUAUUGUCUAAAUGGUGUCAUCACAACACCAAGUGAUAUGAAAAUUACAUGGCAUUACAUAUCAGUAAAAUUGUCUUGUUGGAUGCUAACAUCGAUCCUUGCAAAACCUAACCCUAACGAGAGAUCGAGAAAGAGAGAUCAUUUAUCGGCUUGAUUAGUACUACUGAUUUCAGUAAAUAACGAGUCCACGAUUUGUUUGAUCAGCUUUCGAUGUAUUUAGCUUUCUUAGGCCAUAAGAAAAGUACCUAGUCGAACAAGAUCGAAGAUGAGUACUCUAAUCUCUGGUCCACUGGGAUAUUGUCUUCAAGUCAUCACCGGCCUAAUAAGAAGUUCACCACGACUUUACCUUCAAAGAUACCACAACAAACAUAUAUCUCCACGCAUAAUCAUUUUCAAUAACAGAAUCUUUGACCCCCAAUUAUUUUUAUCGAAAGAAUAUUUGACCCUUCAAUCAAAAAAAAAAAAAGUCUUAUUAUCAUUUGAGAUUUCAAUUUAACCAAAAAGUUAGAAGAGCUCCAUGUGAAAGUUUCUUGUCAAACAAAUACAGGUGCUUUUUUAUGUGCGAUGUGGUCCAAUUUUGAGCGAUCCGAUUGAUCGACAUGUAAAAUUCGAGUGCCUCAAUUAUUAUUUUUUUCCCGAUUGUGUUACCUUUUUUGAAGUGGAUGACUUUUUGGUACAUUUUUGUUCUUUUUAGAAAAUUAAUACACCAAAUUACAAUAUACCAUUCCACCAAACACAUGCUCUGCUACAAGCAAAUUAAGUAGUCACUACUAAUGCAACACUAUAACUAGUUUAUGAUGACCAUGCUAAUUGUUGCUUUUGUUUGAGUUUUAUGGCCCGAUACAAGUGAAAGAUGUGUAAUGAAAAAGUCUCACCGAAAAAACAGACAUAAUAACAUAAGAAAUUAAUAUAAUACCGAGCUAAACGAUUCACACUUGUUGCUAAUGUGGGAUACCUACGGCUUUAUAUAUAUGAGUAUGACGUUUUUGUAGUUCAACUUGUUGCUAUCGCGCGCAGCUUGAAUUCCUAGUAGACCGAGAGUAUUUGCUUAGGAGAAAGAAGUAGCAACUUUUUUUUAUUUUUUUUUAUCAAAUAUUAUAACUACGUGAGUCAAACUCUUAAUUUCUCACUUACUAGGGGAGACUAUGUUGCUAAAUGAAAUGGUAUUGGGCAAAAAAAUAGUAAUUUUUAUUUGAUUAUAUUCUCCCUAUAUAUCAAAGUAACAUAAGAUCAUGCAUGUGUAGAUGACUCUGAAAAGGAAAUGACUUGGACAAGUGGCUAAGUGACCAAGGGGCGUGGUGCGGGGGAAUACUUGUGGAAGCUUCUAUUUUCUCGUUUUCUUUGGCAAAGCGUGGAAGUUUCUUUCAUCGCUUUAAAUGAAUCCUUGAGAAAGAUGGCAAUAUUUCGACGGACGUAGGUAGUAGAAAUCAAACAAUAAAUUUUAUAUGUUAAAGAGCAAAGUGAAAAUGAUUCUAACGUACAUAUAUUCCCAGUGGCAAUAGGGACUUAAUCCAGGUGAGUAUAGGUGUAAUUGGAAUAAUAAUCUACUUUUAUGAUUAGCAUUUUGCAUCUUCUUUCAUUCUAUAAAAAUGAUGAUGUUCCUGUAUUCAUAAUCGCAUAAUAAUAUGCACGUUUAGGUUAAUUGAUAGCAAAGUUUUGUACUUCCAGAUAUGGAUGCUAAAGCUAGUUUAUGGUUUUAGUCAAAACGUUCAAUAUGAAAUAAUUUUUUUCGUGCUUACAAAAUUACGUUCAAACCAAACCUAGGUUAGUAAGUUUAUGUCGACAAAUAAUACCUGUAUAGCCAUGGAAUGGAUCUACAUUGUUUUCCAGAACCGACAAUAUAACCAAAUGAUCAUGCUAAAACGCCCGCUAGCUAUAGAUCUAGCUUCUCACUUUUUAACAAAAUUGGUUAAUGAACAAAUUAAUCAUUCAAGGCUAGGCCGGAGCGGUCAUUUUCUCUGAUUAUCACAAAAACCCUCUAAGCAAUUUGGCAUAUAUUCUCUCAAGAUCGAUACAAUCAAUCGAUGAAAUCGACAUAUUUUAUGUAAGAGAAGACUGAUUAUUCUCAAUGCAUUAUAAGAAAGUUUUGCAGAGAUAUACAAGGUGAAUAAUGCUGCGAUAGUUUGCUUGCUUGAUGCUUGGUUAUAGUUUCCUAGCUACGAUCAUUUCCUUUGUAUUACUGAGCUUCCUUGGGGAAUCAGAAAACAAAUGAAAGCAGGAGAUCGAACAUUAGCUAGACAAAAAGAGAAGUGAUUACUUGUUGCCAAAAAUGAGAGAGGUUGCUUAACCAAAAAGUUAUUCCCCGAUUCUUCAAUCAAGGGCCUAAUUACAUGUCUUUUAAUCGUCCUUAUAUAUGAUGCCUGCCUAACUCUGAUCUACUUUUUUUGACAAUCUUCGGCUACCUGAAUAUUUUGAUAUACUUGUCCAUCACGUUCGGCUUCAAACUUCAAAGCAUCUAUUUGCCACCGACUUUGACUAAUGCCUCUUACGAACAAAUGGCCAUGGAAACUAAUUCUCAGAAGGAAUCAGAAAGACCUAGCAGCUGAGCUAUAGCAAUAUUUUUAUAUCAGAUAGAUCCUAAAGAUUUAUAUAUCGCUUAAGAAUAGGAAGGUUCAAGCAUUUGAGUGAUUCUACGUACGUGUUCAAUUGAUGAAGUAGUCUGGGGUGUACGUGUUCAAUUGAUGUAGUUGAUAAAGUAGUCUGGGGUUCACAUCUAAAACCAAUUGGCAAUGGAUGGAGAUGCCCAAACCCUUAUUAACCCACAAGCAAGGUUCCAUAUUCCCGAUGUGGGAUUGAUAUUUCAACACACGCCCCCGCACAUGUGGAGAAUUUUCAAGCCUAACACGUGGACAACAUUUUGGGUGACGUGGAGUGCGUGUGGCCUUUAGGCUUCACACGUGAACGUAGGUAACCCGCUCUGAUACCAUGAUAAAGUAGUCUGGGGUUCACAUCUAAAAUCAAUUGGCAAUGGAUGGAGAGACCCAAACCUUUAUUAACCCACAUGCAAUGUCUCAUAUUCCCGAUGUGGGAUUGAUAUCUCAACAGUAGUAGUCUACGGUUCACAUCUAAAACCAAUUAACAAAUGAUGAAUUGGCCAAACCAUUAUAAACUCAUAGAGAAUGUCUCAUUUUUCCUGACGUGAGAUUUAUAUCUCAUAAGACAAUACCAUCCGUGCGGCUUUAAUUAGAUGAUGUUAAGUAUCCGCAUCUGCCCUCGAUCAAUCAAACUUGUGUGAGCUAUAAACAUACUUAAAAUCGCAAGUGUUCCGCAAGGUUGUAAAAGAAAACUGGAUCAUAGAAGUGCCGCAAAGGUGAGAUUACGUAAUAGAGUGCAGCUGACUCAAAAUAUGUCGAUCUCUGUAUUUUAGUGUCGACUCCAUUUGGGGUCAGGUUGGCUUUUCUCUUUUGUCAAAGGACGUCAGUCAUAUGUUGUAGGCAUUUGUAUGUCACCAUAUGCAAACUAUAUAUCUAGCUUAAUUUAGCCAGAAAAAUAAAAGCUAUCCUUAAUUUACAGAUGGUUAAUUAGGAAACUUCCAUCAUCUUUCUUGACACCCGAAGUUGAAACAUUUUUUCCAAACAACAUAAUUUUAAUCGAAGAAGAAGAAGAAAAAGAGAACCAAAAGUUCCAACAUGUUCAAACCUGACUUUGAGUUUCAGGCAAAAACAAAAAGCUCAACUUUUGAAGAAAAAAGUGUAUAUACACGAAUAUAUAUACACACACACAUGACCACUCGAUCUAAUAAGUUCAACAAUGUCGACCUUGAUCCAAAUUUCUUUAGAAUAUUCCCACAGGCUGCAGAAUAAUAACACACUGUUCAAUGGAACUUUAAGAAAAUGAAUGAAACCAGAAUACAAGAAAUUAGGAUUUGAUAUCUAAUUGAAAAGUCAUUAACAUUUCGAUCUCUCUCUAUUAUCGCAGCUGGUUUUGAUAUAAACUAGGUACGUACGUUCGAAACAGUAACUGCGGUAAGGUUAAGUUUCUGUGUACGUAGAGCGGCUGCUGCUGCUGGUUUUGUAGUUUCAGUAUCGCAGCUGGGGACUACAACGGGUGAUGAAUGUGGUGGAAAAGUUCUUGGUAUUAUAUAUGCAAAGUCUGUAAGAAUUUGAGCUCAUUUUCUUUUUUGUUUCGAUGAGUUAAGAAUGUGAGUCCAUGCUUCCAGCUUCUUGUGAAAAAGUCUUAUCGAACAGGUGUAAACCACAUGCCUAAAAACAUCUAGCUAUGUUUUCUCACUUGCUGGUUUUCCAAGUUUGACGAUGACCCUUUUCCUUCGUACUAAAUAUAUUCAAUAGUUAACAUAUUGUUUUGUUGUCAUCUAAAAGAAACUAUGUAUUGUUUUGUUUUGAAACUUAACCCUAAGUUCUGUGACGGCGUGUCCAUGUUUUAGGUUCUACACUUAUCUUGAGAAGGAAUGUUUUUUUGUUGAUAGAAAAAUAGAAGAAGAAGAUAUAUGUUGAGUUGGUAUUAACAAUUGGUCAAUAACAACUUAGUGAUUAUGCUUAUGUAGCUCGGGAUAUAGGUGCAAAUAUCCCCCAGACGUUGAGCUUAAUUUGUUAUUGUCCUCUUCAUAGUUGUUGGUUUCUUUACAGCUUUAUUUCUUGGUUUGUAACUUAUAAUGUUCCUUGCUUUGGUUUGUUUCGUGGCAACAGAUCUUCAAGGUUGUUCCAUUAUAUUGUAUUUUCUUGAUCAUUGUUCAUUGACUGGCUUUGGUUUGGCUCUCCAACUAUCUUGUAAUUAUUUUCUUCUAUUCAAUAGAAUUUCGAGAAAAGACGAGUUAAUUCUUUCUUCUGUUUAAAAACAAAAUCACAUCAAUAAACUGACUAUUUCAUUGCAUUAUCAAUCUUAUAAAAGGAAUUCAAUAGUCACCAAAAAAUGAAAAUAUAUAUACAAUGCAUUUGUCCUUUUCUAUAGGGUAAUGUUAGGGUUUGUUAAUGCAUGUGAUGCAUCGACUUUGUUCUCAAAUUAUAAAAUGAGUUCUCAAAGUUGUAAUAUGAGUCAUUAAAGUUGUAAAAACAAAUUAUUUACAACAUUAGUCCUCAUGUGUCUUUAAAGUGAUAAUUGGGUCAUCAAGCCUCAAAGUUGCAAUAUGAGUCCUCAGAGUUGUAACAACUUUUUUUUAAUCACUUUAAGAACUCAAUUACCACUUUAAACACACAUUCUUACUUUAAGGACACAUGAUGACUAAUGUUGCAACUAGAAAAUUUUACAACUUUAAAUACUCGUAUUACAACUUCAAGGACUAAUAUUACUAGUUUGAAGACUCAUUUGACAACUUUAGGACAAAGUUGAUGCAUCACAUGCAUCAUAAUUCUUGCAUUUCAAACAUUAAUUUCUACAUCACACAACUAUUCACUUAACGCGCAUGAGUCUCUGUUUCAUGUUUCUUAUAUUUACAGGUCUAAUUCAAGAAUCACUAUUGCAAUUUAGACAAUCAAAAAUUGUUUAUCCAGUGUAUAUAUCAAUACAUACAUUUUGACAUUCAACUGAAAAUAUUGUGUCGUUAAAUUUGUUAGAAAUUAGUUUUUAAACUCUAGAGAAUUGUUUGAAAUUUUAGACUUAAUUCAUAUUUUUCAUAUGUCAAUAUAAACAGGAACAUAUGCAUAUAGUCUUUUGCUCUAAUUCAGAUCGACAUGAUAUGCAUUGCAAAAUAAGUUGUUUUUUAAAAAAAAAAAAAUAGGGGCUAAACGGCCGCUCUCAUGCAUUCAUGCAUUGCAAAAUAAGUUUUGUAUAUAAGUUUUUGAAAUCUCAUAUUUAAGACUCGUUUAACAUGUUUUUUUUUUUUGCCACAGAUUGAUUGUGUUUGUACCUGAUUCCUGCAUUUUGCCUUCUUGUUAAAACUGCACAUGAUUUCUUAUUGUAACAAAUCUACCGAUAAUUAAUGGUUAAAAUUAACAAUCAGUCUAAGGUGUUUCUAAUACUACUAGACUUGAAGUGGUCCUUGUCCAUUUUUUUGAACAUAUAUACUUGCUAGUGCUCCAAAGAUAGUGCCAGACACUGUCUUUUUUUGCAAUGCUAAAAUAAAAAGGUUACUUGAAUCGGGACGCACAUAGGCGAAGCUAUGCACAGGCUAAAAGUGGCCAUGGCACCCCCAAAACCCUUUCCUCUAUAUGUAUUUUAUCAUUUGAAAUUGGUUUAUUCACUUCAUACUUGUGAUCAUCUUACACAUUGGCACCCCUUAAUCCUAAAGUUUGGCUUCGCCAUUGGGGACGUAGAUAAUUGACCCUCUUCUCAGCUAGAAUUAAAAUACGAGCAAUAUAUAAUGUGUAUAUGGAUUGUAAUUUGAGUAUUAUCUGACAAAUGAGAGCAUUGCAACAUAUUUCAUUUGGCAAUUAGCCAAUUUCGGAUAGCAAUUAUCCCGGAUAUGGAUAUAUAUAGAAGAUGACUUAAGCUUGGUGUUAUUCUCCUGAUAAGAAAAUUGUUGUCAAAACAAUUACUUGAAUGAUGGCAAUAUGUACAUAUCCGAAUAUUUCAUAAAAGGUCUCUGUACAUGCAAUAUCCACUUAUAAGUUUUAUUUUUAUUUUUAUUUUUUUGAUUUGAAAAUUUUCCUUCCAGACCCCCUCACGUGAAAUCUGACUUUUUAAGUGUGCACGUGAAAUACAUUUAAUCCAAUUCCUACAUUGGAAAUUGGGACACAAAUUGCAAUUCAUUCAACAACUUGAUCAAUAUACGAUUCAAGGCCUACUACAGAUACUUGAUAAGAAACCAAUCAGAAUUUUCAGAUGGUUAUACGAGGUGAUCGAAGGGGAGAGAGAGCGCCACGGCGGGAAAGGCUGGUGGAGGUGGUCGUCGGGGGAGAGAGUGAGGAGAGAGGGAGAGGAGAGAGAGCUAUGAGAUCGGGAAGAGAGAAGAGAAAAUGAUAUGAUAUUAGUGUUAAUGGGUAGAUUCGUCAUUUUCUUUAAAUUAGUUGGAAUGGGCACUACGUCUCUUGGUUUAGUUCAUAUGGAUAUAGUCAUUACCCCUCUAUUUAACUUAUGGACCAAGUGUUGUGGCUGUGGGCCACGAGACUAGGUCUUAUAAGUUAUAUAUUUAAAUAACAAAAUAGUUUCAAUAUAACUACUUUUGUAACUAGAUUUGAAUUUCUAUUAUUUUAAAAAAGAAACAUCAUUAGCCCUCUAUGUCGCCUCUACUUAGUUCUAGAAUCUCGAUUGUGAAGAAUAUCCUCGUCCGACGACGUUACACCAUUGUCGGAGGUGGCCUCGGCCACAACGAUUUAGUGCUGCUGGACGGGUGUUUGCUCUCGGUAUUUCAUUUUGGACAAAAACAUUAGUAAUUCCACCACCAAUUAGCUUAAAUAUCUAAAACUCUCAUUGUUCCUCUACUAUGCUAAAGCACCAAAUUAGCCGUACCUAAUUAGGCAUGGGUUAAUGUCAAUUUUCGUGGGCACCACAGCUUUUGUUAAGCAUUAUGAUUUUGUGUUUGAUAAGCUAAUGACAAGAAGGUUUGAAAGUAUGGUUAUUAUUGGGUGCUUGUGUGUUUUGGUAGGGUCGCACAAUGGUCCGUCGGAUUUUUCUCUAUAAUUCAUAUUUUGGCCGAAAAGUACAGCCCAGACCCGAAGAGUGAUAUUUUCGUCGGCUAGUGUGUGCCCCUCUCUGAAUCGCAGUUAUAAAUUGACACAAGCUAAGCCUCUUCUUCCCUCACAGACUUGUCCGAGUUGAGUUUGAGUUUGACUCGUGCCGAGUUGAUAGUGGUGCGCGUGUGUGAGAUUUUCCAACCUUUUUCCCAGGUUCUGUUCCUAUUUAAACCCCCCCCCCCUAACUCUGUUUCAAAACCCACAUUGCCUUCUCUCUGUUUCCCUUUCCAGUCCUAACAGCCUUUCUCUCUUUCUUUCAAGUAAGUCUCGAGGUAUGAACACUUUGAGGUUUUACUUAUUUUACUUUGUAAUGGAGGCAGAGUGUGAAAGAUUCAUCAUUCAUGGUUUGUUUAUGUGUAUGUAUGCAGGGGUUGAGAAACUUGUUAAAGGAAAGAAAAAUGACCAACCAAAAUGUACUUGUUUCCGAUGUCAAAGGCGUGGCUAUGGCUGUCGCUGCCAUGAAGAACCAGUCUAUGUUCUCUUCAUCGGUGGCGAGUUCCAUGAUUGAAUCAGGAGGAGUUGCAGGGUGUAUUUUCACCAUUCCCAGGAGUAUUAAGCUCUUGAAGGUUGAGACUGCUGAAGUUGGUGGUGGAGCUGCCCGAGUCAAUGCUUGGGUGGACUCAUUGAGAGCUUCUUCUCCGCCGCGUGUUAAAUCCACCACCACUUCCCCCUCCACUCUUUCUCAAACUGGGGAUGAAGAAAACUCUUGGAAUGUAAGCAUUGGCCUUUGUAUCAUCUCUCUGGUUCUUAAAUUUUAUUUGCCUAGCUGUUAUAUAUGAGUUGAUGAAAUGCUUUUGUAAACAGCUUCGUCACCCAUCAGCUAUAAACAUGUUUGAGGAGAUUACAAAUGCUUCAAAGGGGAAGCAGAUUGUCAUGUUUCUUGAUUACGAUGGAACCCUUUCUCCAAUUGUUCAAGACCCUGACAGAGCCUUCAUGUCCAAUGAGGUUUAUUAUUGAAUUCUUACUUGUAUGAGUGUAUCAGUUUGAUCCUAGCUAUAUUAUUACAUGUAUAACACUUAUAUAUGUGUACCAUCUUCAUCAUUCAUAGUCUCUUUGUCUUUAGCUAUGAAUUGAUUUGGCCAUUUUGGUUCAGAUGAGAAAAGCUGUGAGGGCAGUUGCUAGAUAUUUUCCAACAGCCAUAGUUAGUGGGAGGUGCCGCGACAAGGUACAAUUUUGCUUUCUAUUUUUCUAUUAAUAGAAAUGUUACUAAUAUGCUGUUUCACCAAAGCCAUGAAAGUUUUGUAAAUUACUGGAGUUUCUUAAUUUUUUGCAGGUUUAUAGCUUUGUCAAACUAGCAGAGCUUUACUAUGCAGGAAGCCAUGGGAUGGACAUCAAAGGACCAUCCAAAAGUAACAAGUACAAGAAUGUGAGUGGCUCCAGCCUCUAGUGACCCAAAAUAAUAUAAAGUUCUUCAUAUAUUCUUGCUUUUUUGGUGUACUUUAUAAUGAUUUCAAGUAACUUAUAUUCAUUGUUGAAUUACUCAGGCUAAUCAACAAGCAGUUCUGUGCCAACCAGCUAGUGAAUUUGUACCCAUGAUUGAUGAGGUUUGUUCAUAUCAUAUCAUCUGUUAAGAACAAGCAGAGAAGAGAAUAUGAUAACUAAAAGGAAACUGUUUGAGUGACUGAUUUAAUUUGUGUAAUUCCUGGCAGGUCUUCAAAAUUUUAGUGGAGAAAACCAAAUCCAUCUCAGGAGCUAGGGUGGAAAAUAAUAAGUUCUGUUUAUCUGUACACUUUCGUUGUGUUGAGGAGAAGGUAAACAUCAAUUCCCACUUUUCUAUCUUCUAUUUUUUGUUUUGGUUUGUUUUUAGUGAUCAUAUAAUUUGGUGGAGGAUACAAUCAUUUACAAUUUGUUUUCCUUUUGUAAUUGUCUUGAUUCUUACCAGAGUUGGGCUGCUCUGGCAGAGCAAGUAAGCUUAGUGCUCAAUGAGUACCCAAAGCUGAAGUUGACUCAAGGGAGAAAGGUAAGUAAAUUAUCUAGCUAGAUAAAUAACUUCCUAAUUGAAUUUUGCAUGGACACAAAAUUAAUUUUCCUAAUUGUGUUUCUUGGUCUGAGCAGGUCUUGGAGAUUAGGCCAACCAUCAAAUGGGACAAGGGCAAAGCACUUGAAUUCUUGCUAGAGUCAUUAGGUGAGUCUUGAGUAGUCGAUUUCUAUCUCCUUCUAAAUUACCCUUUGAUACAAUUGUUAAUUAUGUCGAUUUCUCCUUCUUAUAGUAUAUAUAAUGUGUAUUUGUCCUAUUAUCAAAUUAGGAAUGUUAAACUGUUGUUUCUAAUUAGGAUACGCCAACUCAAAUGAAGUAUUACCGGUCUAUAUUGGAGAUGAUAGAACAGAUGAGGAUGCUUUCAAGGUAUGAUCAGAUUGAUCAAAUGCCAUUAAAAUUUUAUAUAUUUUCAACAAGUUUUGUAUUUUGAACAUAUUUUCACACGUAUAAAUGAUAUAUUCCUGCAGCUUUUACGUGAUAGAGGACAAGGAUUUGGAAUUCUUGUUUCUAAAGUUCCAAAAGAAACAAAUGCUUCUUAUUCCUUGCAAGAACCAGCAGAGGUACGGACGUACGUGCAUAAGAAUACUAUUUUGGAUCCCAACUUGGAAUAAUUGGCACUUGUUUUGAUCUAAUUAAUUUGUUUGUAAAUAUAAUUAACAUGGUUUAGGUGUAUACGUACUUAUUCUGUCUAAUUUUUUUGAUAGGUCAAGGACUUUUUGCGACGUCUAGUGAAGUGGAAAAGAUUGACGCUGCAGUAACUAAAAGACGACUCGCAGAGAAUGGAAGCAUAUUUAGAAGAAAUUAAUCGAUUCCACCCUAAGAAUUUAGUCAAAGGAUGGCCGGCUUCAUGUUUAUGUAAUUUUCUUGUUAAGUUAGUUAUUAAUUAUCGAACUACUGAAUCCCUAAUCAAUUAAUUAAUUUUGGAAAUUGUAAAUAAAUUGCGUCUCUCUCGGAAUAUCUCAUUUAAUUUUCUUGCUAUAUAUCUAGCUAUUCGUUUACUCAAACCAUGUAUCCAUUGGUUGUCUUGCAUGGCAGUUUUUCUAAUUGUGAUGAAAGACACUUAAUCACUCCAUCUAAACUGAAAAGAAGCUACUCACUACAUGUAAGUUUUACUUAAAAUGACAACACUGUAUCUUUAGGAUAUAUUUCAGCUCACUAGUAGUCAUCAGUAUAGCUCUUCUUAAUUCGAACGAUAUCAUGCCAAGACCAAAGCGGCAUACUAGAAUGAGGUAAAACCUCGUAGCUAGCUUCAUCAUUAAUUUCCCUCCAACAUAAGAACUCGAUCGUCAAUCACUCGGUUCAUUAGUCGUAAUCGCAACAAGAAAUAACCUCAUCCAUCAGCUAAAAGUAUAUUGUUUUCUCAUAUUGUGAUGAACCAGAAAAGACAAAUAAUUUUCCUUUUCUUAUUUCACGACAGUUUGAUCAAACUAUUUUGAGUCAUUGGCUUUUACUUUUUCCCUAAUUGUUAUGGAAAUCAAGAUAUAUGGGCAGUACUUAUUUAGAUCCUAGCUACUCAAAAGAAUCACCUUUUAGCUAUAAUCUAAUUACUUUUCAACAUUUACUAACUAAUAGUUCAUUACAAUAAUUGACAUUGAGAGUGAAAUUAAGAUCAAUAUGAUCCUCUAUUGAAGGUGGGCAGAUGAAAUUACAUUUUCAAUUUUUUUUCUUUUUAACAAUUUAGUUACAGAUUAUUGAUUCUAAUUAUUUAAUUACCAACAUUUAGUUACUAAUAAUUCAUUCCAAUAAUUGAGAGUGAGAUUAAAACAGUCUAUAUACAUGAUCAUCUAAUUAAGUACUAUAGAGUAUACAUGAAGGUGGGCAGAUAAACUUCUUUUUGUUAUUGCUAAACAAUUUUACUACUUUCUUAACUGCGCGCUAGUUAUUUUUUGAUUAUUUUCUGUAUAAAGCUGUCUCGCAUGUACUAGGGAAUCCAAGAACUGAGCUUGGAGAUCAAGUUUGCUGCAAAUUGCCUAUAUAUAAACUGAAAGCAUGCACUGCUCUUUGAUCCUCUUCCAAAUCUAUUGGUCUGUUACUAAUUUCUCAUUUAUAUAAUUCCCACAUCAAAAUUAGUUUAUAUGCAGCAGUCAAAAGAACACAUUGUCAAUUCUUGAAGUGAGUGUUUCAUGCGACCAAAGCUCAUGUAUAUGUUGAAUCCUAAACCUCAAUAAUGGGAAGCAUCUGCCAGUACAGUUGGCAAAAUACUCAAAUAUAUAGCUAUAGUUAAGCAGAGUGGUGCUCUUGUGAUCGAUAAAAUACAAGCAUUUCUUGAGUUAAGGUAGACUUUGUGAUUUGUUUUUCAGUAAAUGAAGAACCCUAGGAAUUCUGUAACAAUAUAUAUGAAUUGCCGCGACAAAUAUUACCCAAACUAUAUGAACAAGUUGAUGCGAUAUGGAUUACGUCUGUGUAAAUUAAUCUGUAUUACUUAUUGGGAUGCGUUAUUCACUGUCCUCGGGUAUAGUAUCAAAUUGACAUCUUUGUUCUUUGGUUCUUUCCUGCAUUUAGUAGCUAGGUAUGUAUUCAGUAAUCAGUAAUCAUCUAUAUAUAUACCUAGUGGUACUGUGGUAACCAAUAACUCAAUAAGUAUCUUCUUAAUCUGGCCACAAGGAAUCGCGCACAUUUUUAUUCCUUUAAACCAUAAGAACUGAGAGUCCCGAUAGUUUUCCAUCUAUUGGCUCUUUUCCCGUUUUGGUUAAUCAUUUUGUCUUCACUCACCAAGGCUGUGCAUGAUUGUGUUAGAACGGAAUGUGCAUCUAGACCUAACAUUCUUAAGAAAAACAUAACCCAACUCGUGAAAAUUGAUUCUUGUACAAGCUGUUGUUUGCUUUAGAAAUUAUGUACAAAGGGCUUGCAUCUUUAUUACUAUAUAUAAUAUACAGAUAUCACAAUCAGCAAUAUGAAACAGAUAUUGCAUAAUGAUUAACAGAGCUAAUUGGGAUGAUUCUCUGAGCUGUUAGAUGAAGACUCAACUAUUUUUAAGAUUAGUGAAUAGUAAGGUUUAACACAUGCUUAUCUUUUUAAUAUAUUGUUCAACUAUCAAAUUGACAGUAGCAGGGUAACUGCACGCCUCUGAAAAUGGUAGGUUGGAUAAUUGAGUACAGCAUAUAUAAUGGAGGAUUCAUAUGAAAUGACAUAUCAGGUAAACAUUGCAUCUCUCUAUAUCACUGGAGAAAGGCUUUUCUUGGCACAGUGAUCAUCAGGUUACGAAUGAUUAAAGGAUGGAAAAGAAGAGAUGGAAGGAAUGUGAACUGACUGGUGAUGUGUUUUUGAGCAACAGGUACACAUGCAGCCGGUGAGUUGAAGCUGCUAGGUUAGUAUUUAUUCUUAGCUAUAGCCCCAUGUUAUUUAAUUUGCUUCCUUUCGUAGAUACCAGUUAUCUUCACCCUUCUAACAGACAAGAGAUCAUGGAGAGGAGCACGCACGAGACCCAUAGCUAUCUAGAGUUUAAGUUUGAUUAUAAAUUUCACAGAAAGAGAUAUGGCAACAUUAUAGGGCACAAAAUAAGAAAUACAUUACUACUAUGAUAGUGAACAUGAACAUUACUUUACACAGCUAAAGCAAAUAAAGAGCUUAUGCUUUUUAAGGGAUCGCACAUUAUAACCAAGUUCCUUAAUUAACUUGUUUAUGGAUAAAUUGAUCCCAAUAAUGAAAUGGUAUCUAUUUAAACAAAAAUAUAUAAGAUCCAAGGAGCUAGGUUAAGAUAUUAGAGGGUUAAAUGAGUGAACAGGAAGGGUGCUUGCUUUUGGAAGGAGGGAUAUAGACCUAAACCAUUGGGCACCAAGAUUUGGGAGAGCCCACAUCAAAAGAUUAAUGGAAUCUUAAAAGUAGUAGUUUAAUGGAUUCAUUUUGUCAAUAUUGAAAUGGGUUAUUUUCAUAGGGUUAGGUGGUGAGAGGGAAACCCACUAGCUAGCUGCAUAGGGGGUUCCAUAUGGUUGGAAGAGGAGUUGGAAUCCACUAAAAGUGCUUAACAUGAAGAAGACAUGGGGUUUCUUUAUGCUAUUCUUGCCAAUAUGUUAUCAAAUGGUUUUUCAUUUGUUCAUAUGAGAUUUAUAAGUAUUACUUACUCGGUAGAUAUUUUACUUAGUAUUUCAUAAAAUAAAUAUAUUUAACUAGCUACAACGUAACGCUCAUGUAUUGUCCCGUUAGAUUGUUAUAGUAAAACUUCUUAGAUGCGUAUUACGAUUUUAAACGUAUCAUUCUUGAACAUAUAUGUUAAAUACUUAGCGACAAAACAAAUUAACAUUUAUCACAAAUAUCUUCUUAGAUGUUAUUUACUUAUUUUUUUAGUACUGACCAUGAAUCUUUUAGUCAAUAACUGACUAUGUGAACACUACUAAUAUAUUUAAUGAAAUAUGACCGAUGUUUGAUCUUUAAGAUUAAAUAUAUUCAAAUAUGGAGGAAUUUCACCGUUGAGGAUUCACCCUCAAACUAAAUGUUUUACCCUGAUAUACACAGAAUAACUGAUCAAGGGAGUAUUCAAACAAUUAUAGCGCAGAAACAUCAUGAAAUAUUACUUAGUGAUGAGCAAAUUUAGUAACCCUAAAAGCAUUGCUAUUGGGGACACCUAGCACGGUUCCAUGCCAUAGGAAACCUCUGCCUCAUUCAGACGUGUAAAGAGAUUUUCCCACUAUAUUGCAUCCAUUAUUGGCACCUUAAACAGAAAUAAAUAAAGUCCUAUAGGCCCCCAAUUAUUGGUGAAAGAAAAAGAGCCACUUCUUCUCUCCUGCAGGGACAACAUAUUCAACCAACUCAAACUCUCUGUAUCACACUAUGCUUCUUGCAGCUAGCUUAGCCUUUAAUAUAUCAUCAUCAUCAUCAUCGAGUAUCAUCUAUGACAAAUGAAUCAAAUGAUGUGUCUGAAAAAACAAAAGCUAGCCUCUCAGGAGGCAGCAGGCAGAUUCUGAUCCCUUUUACUUCUUACUGAACCAUCCCAGCUCGGUCCCAACAAACUAACAGCACCUGGGAACAAAUGAAUUAAAGAAACCAAAACUUAAAGAUGCGAGGACCUCUGUGGAAGAUUAAAGCGUAUUGACCUUUAAGAUCAGUAGUGCAUGUACGUGUGUUUUGUAUUGUGGUUUCCAUGUGCGAUAGAAAGAAGAAGAAGAGCAGAAAAGGAUCUGUCUUUCUCUUUCAACGUGUCGAUCCUCAGCUGCUAUAUGAUGCUGUAGGAAAACUGGUCCCUGCAUAGAGGCCAGGGUUGGAGCUAGCUGAUCGACUUUGAUCAUGAUCAAGGUGGUGAAGAUCAUAUAUACGUAUAUAGUAAUUUAUAAAGAUCGAUGAUUUUAUAUAGUAAUUGAUGUUAUGGAUCGUACGGAGUUGGAUCAGUAAACAUGUGUUUACGAUUUGAUAAUUGGAUUAUCCAUGUGAGCAGCAUCAGUAGAACAGAGAUCAUGAUCUUCUAAGAGGAAGCAUAUGCGUCAGGUGCUUGCAUAGCAGGUAGCUUGGAGCUAAUCCCUUGCAAUUAUCGUAAGCAGUAGAGUUUUGGUUUAAGAAUUCCAACCAAGUAGCUAGGGGAGUUCUGUAAUGGGCUUCUGCUUGUCCGCAAACGAUCGAAGAAAUUGGUUAUUGGGUCAUAUGCUAACGUCAAAUGGACUCUGCACCCCAAUUGUGGACAUAUAUAUAUAUAUAUUAAUAUAUAUAUAUAUAUAUAUAUAUAUAUAUAUAUAUUGUAUAUAUGCCAUCAUAUGUAUAAAUCCAAACUACCCUCUUCUCGAUCAAACCCAUGACCGAGACAAAUUUAGCUCUUAGUGAUGUAAAUGCUAAUGUACAUGGUGUCGAAGAAAAGAUACAGGGAAGAAGAUGAAGACAAAGAUUAAGAACAUAACUAAUUUGAGAAGGAGAAGCGCGCAAUUGGUAUUAAAUUUAGGGUAAUUUCACAAUUUGUUGCAACUGAUUCUACUCAACACUCCAUUCUAGUAAGCUGUUGUAAUUAAUCACUCCAUUCUCUUUUACAACUCAUCUCAUUAUAGUUCUACAAACCAAAUCCCACUACUUUUAAUCUUAUUAGUGUUAGUAAGAUCUAAACUAAUUGGGUUGGCAGUCAAAACAAGUUAAGCACCCGCCAACUCACUGGGGUCAAUGAUGCAACGGAAUCAGUUGUCGACUACUCUUGUUUAAUUUACCUAUCAAUUAGAAUGGUUACUGCUAACAUAUAUCAAAAGAAUUUGUUAGAAUAUAAGAGUAAUUAGCUAUGUUUCAAAAUGCAUGUAUUGAUGAUUCUCAAAAACUAAAAAAAUGAAAAUGAGUGUACUGAUCGUUUAAGAAGAUGGUUUAAAACACCAGAUAAUUAAUCAAUGAGAAACAUAUAUAGAACGCCGAAGGAUUUACAAACUCAUACAGCAAGAAGUCAACAACUGAAACUCUACAAAUUAACGAACACCAGAAAAUGAAUAAGAAAGAACUUCUUUACAUUCAUUUGCAUGCCUUACGAAAUAUUAUCGAACUUCUGCUCUAAAUAAAUUACACUUCCCAAAAUACAGAAUAUACAUGAACCAGACUCUCCAUUCUUUCAUUCAUGAUUUGCAGGCACAAGAUAAUUGAACUAGAGAGGGAAGAAACUGAAUAAAAAUAGGAAGAAAAAACAAGAAAUUAAAGAAGGAAAAUAUUGUAAAGCAAUGUGAAAUUAGAUGAUCAGCACCAACUUCUACCAACUUUACAUGACGAGUGCUGCCAAACUCGUUCCUACGUAAUAUCACAUUUUUUUGUAAUUGCUAUGUUCUGUUUGUACGACAUUCUUGGUUCAGAACUCGAGUCCCCUUCACCAAUGUAUCCACCGUAAAAUCGCAUUCGACAUGAAAGAUCAUGCUUUUCUUCAAGGCCCCCCUACGCAUCCGCCCCGGGAUGUCCAUGCUCAGAGAAAACUUGACAUGGACUUUCUGUUUGCUACUCGUGCCACUUUUCUCAAUGUCUUUAGGCAACUUAAUCUUGGAGCCAUGAAAGAUCAAAGCAAACUCUUUUGAGUUUCCACCAUCUUGUUCGAAAGACGGGUAAGUAGCUGUGGCGAUUUCUUGCGUCUUAAGAUUAAGGAAGGCGUCGUCUCCGCCUUUCUUGUAUAGAACGGUCACUUGGGAAUUCGGAUUUUGAGACUUCAACGUUAUGGUGUAGUCCGGUCGAUGCGACUUAGUUUUGUUGUUGUAGACGAGUCGUUGGACGGAAAAUCUAGGGUCUUUCGACAUGGUCACGGACACGUAAAGCCCAGUGAUGAGCAAAAUGAUGAAUAGGAGAAAGAAACCAAGGAUGCCGAGACAGAUGAAGUUGCAGCAUACCGGUUUCUUCUUUUUAGACGGAUCUCGGUGGCGUUCGACGAUGGUGGCAUUUUCAGGUGGAGGGAUGCGGUAGAUUUGAUCCUUGGGGACUUGGACAACGUAGGUGCCGGACUCGAAGGUGGCGUAUUGAGAUUGGUUGUGGGGGACUAACUCUUGGGAUGGUGGUACUAAUGCCCUAGCUGUGGAUGAUGAGGCUGUUUGUUCGAACAUUUCAUUAGGUUUUUGCGGUUCGGAGUACUCAUCCUUGCCGUUUCCGGGAGGUGGGACCCGCUCCGCCAUAAGAAGAUGGGGAGCGGAGGACAAGGAGGGUGGUGUAUCUGCUCAAUGAGAGAUUGGACGCGGUGGCAAAUUGCAUGGGGGAAGGACGGGAGUGGUGGAGGGGGGACAAAUGGGAGGUUGUGAGGUAGAGAGAGAAGGGAAAAAGAAUUGAUUAAAGGAGGAUUAGAGGAGAUCUAAUCCUUCUUCAAGCAGAUAAUUUUGAAACUGCACUAUAAUUAGAAGUUGUUUACAAGGUCAAUAGCAUUUUGAAAUCAAUGGAUAGUUAAGGGUUUGUGUUUUUUGUUUCUCCCAAAAUAACUGAGCUAAUGGACUAGAACUCGGAAGUUGUGAGUAGAGAUUGCCGCGAGGUCAACUAAGAAAGUCUUUAAUUUGUUUGUUUCAAAUCUAACAAUGAUACCACAAACACAAAGAAACUGCUUGCAAAUGCCAGAACAGAUCGAAGAAUGAACUAAGUGAAUAACGCAAAGGGUAACAUUAGAAUAAAUUAAUUGCAUUCUUAAGUUCAAUCGUUUAGAUACAACGACUAGAUAAAUUUUUACGUGCGACAACCUCAUCACGUGUCCCUUACGACUAGCCACUUCAACAAUGACACGUAUCAAAUUUUUUUAUGUCAACAACAUUCUUUCUUCUCUCUUCGAUGUCGCCGUCAAGCUUUCUCUUCACAUGUUCCCGUUGAGCAGUAGCAGCCACCGCUUGCAGAUUUAUAAGGGACCCUCCACCAGUGACGAACCUACCGGCAUCAGUCACCUUCACAACUCCGUACUUGGAUUCAGGAAGGUCAGCCAUCGCCAGCAAACCAUAGAACUUAGCUCCCGAUCCAUCCCCGGCAGCUUGACCACAAUCUCGAGCAGAAUCUAAUCGGACAAUUGUGCCUUCUAGGUCAUAACUUCCCAAAUCAGGAACUAGGGUUCAAAGAAAACAUUGUGGUCAACGGCGACGAAGAGAGAAGAAAGAACGCUGCUGGCAUAAAAAAAAAUUGAUACAUACGUGUCAAUGUUGGAGUGGCUGGUCGUAAGGGACAUGUGGUGCAGUUGUGGCACAUAAGAAUUUCUCCAACGACUAUUAACAUACACCGAUAAAUAACAGAAGAAUGAUAUUUUUGAUGAAAAGAAAAACAAAAAAACAAAAACUACAUGUUAAACAUGAAAACUAAAUCUCUUCAAACAAAAAAAGAACAUGACAACUAAAUUAAAGAACCAAAACUUUUGCAUUUAUAGCUAUAUAUAUGUGCCAACGUUUUGUCUGCUCUCUUCCUUUUUAUUUUGUAAGUUUUGGCCAAGUGCUCUGUUUGAGUACUUGUUUUCCUUUCUAUUCUUACGGAGGUUUUGAUCUUUGGCCUCCUCUCUAUGUACUCUCUUUUUCCCUUCAUUAUUAAAUAAAAAUAAAGGGCUUUCCCCUUUAAAAAAAAGAAAAAAAAAAAAACAAAACUUCACCAUGAUUAUAAAUAGAUGGAUUCAACCCAUUUCCAUUGAGGGAUCCCUAUCUUUGGCCACUUUCUAGGGAUAGGGCAUUACACCACUUCCCAAUUGAAUUUUUACAUCUCCAUCGUUCAUAUCUUAGGUCUAUAUGAGUAGAUCAUCUCUAUAAAAUUUCAUAUGAUUUGGUGAUCGUUAAGGCUUUCAAAAGUUUGAUUUAGUUUUAAUGAUCUUGAACGGUCCAGCUUAUGUCAAACUAAAACCGUUGAAGGUCAUUAAAACUAAAUUGAAUUUUUGAAAGCCUUAACGAUCACCAAAUCAUAUGAAAUUUUGUAGAGGUGAUCUACUCAUAUAGACCUAAGAUAUGAACGGUGGAGAUGUAAAAUUAUAAUCGGGAAGUUGGUGUAAUGCCCUAUCCCUAUAAAUGGCUUAAAAUAGGGAUCCCUCAUUGGAAGGGUUCUGUAGAUGGAUUAGGGGAUAAUAGACCAUAAGUGAGAGUUGCACUUCAUUGGUAGGCUUACAUAGACGGCUUCAUCUUUCGUUAUAGUUCUCUACGUAGUAUACUGCAUAUACUAUCAAUUGAGUUGUUCCAGCAAUUGCAUCGAGACUGUUGUUGACAAGGAUAAAGUAGUCCCUUUUGCAGUAGGAGCAUAGGUGACACAGCAACAACCAUUCGAAAAGUUUGCGAGAAAUAAAAUAGGGAAAAUAAAAAACAAACAACAAUUCAUAAUACUAAAACCACACAAAAAAAGGGGUACGCGCUGUAUGCGCUAGGUUUUGGAGAGGACUCCUCACCGUCUUCGAAAAGAUCUGGUGUAGGCCUUUGGCCUCGUCGGCGUGUGUCUUAUACGGUCCGGCGGGAAGUGUGCCCAAGGAUUUGGUCCGAUGAUCAGAGGGAAAGGCAGAAUGGAGCCAUGGUUUAUGGAUCUCAGUUUAGGGCAGUGACUGCAAAAGGAUGCGGUGCACCUUGGAGUAGGUUCGGCUGUGUGGCGCAGCUAGUGAUUCCAGAUCUUGGGGUGGAUGACGGUGAGUCUACGACGGUGGGUACCCAAAUUCUGGUGUCUCUCUUCAUCAGGUGUUUGGGCACUUGCAUGUUGUGGUGGUGGUGGAGGGUGGAUGCAUCAAGGUAUGUCGGCGGCGUCUGUUCGACGGCGAGAGGGAUCAAAGAGCGGCGACGUAGCGGCGAGCUGGGAGAUGGCAAGGUAGUGGCGGUCAUGCAACAACUGUUUUGGAUUGGACCCAGAAAUUAGGCCAUUUCUGCCCUAAUCUGAAUAUGGGCCUCUCCUUGGCAAAGUGGUAACUAGGCCUGGGGUCCUAUUUCAGGUUCAUUAAGGUAUAGUUAUUUCUUUAGUGUAAUAUUUUAUUUAUGUUAUUUAAUUUGUUCUCGUCUUUUGUGAGCAAUAAUUCUCUACAUUAGUUGGGUAAAGCGAGUUGGGCUUUAUGCCUGUGUGUGCACUCAAAGUGCCUUGUUUGCUCUAGGUAUGCAGCGAGUUCCGUGUUUCGUCAAAUGGUUGAUGCCGCCUAGUGGUAGGGUGAAGCUAAGUGUUAUCGGAUUUAUCCUCCGGCGGCAACAUAGUAAGAAAGCUGUGCUUGUGGUAAUUAUGAUUCACAAUAGUCAAGUUAACUUUACGUUAUGUCACCACUAUGUUAAAGCAAACAUAAUAGCCAAUAGAACACUCUUUGUUAGUCGGUGCCUAGUUGGGUACAUGUUUGUAGAGACUGCUGAUAUUAGUUCAGGUCUUUAUAAUCAGGGUUUACCCCCCUUAUAUUUGACAGUUUCAUUAAUCAAAGCUUGAGGGCAGCCGCACCAGCCCUUUACUAAAAAAAAAAGAGAAGGAAAGUUAAAGGUCAAGAAAUUUUAUUUUAUUAUUAUUAUUAUUUUUUUAAGCAAAGGUGGGCAUGUAACCUAUUGUAUUAAUAGUUGCAGCCAGAAUGACAUCGAUACAGACCCCAACGAAUUGAGGUGAUUGUCGUUCAUCGACGAUGAGCCUAGCAAACUAUAAUCUUACCUUACACAGAGAUAAUUUUGUAUGAAAACUUACGUCGCCAAGGCGCUCGAUUGUGGUACCGUAAGAAGUAUAUAUCAACUAUCUAGAUGUAAAAGAAACAUCAUAAUCUACAGACAUCAAAACCUACCUAGAGUUCCUAAAAAAAGUAGGAAUUAUUAUUGUAAUUAGACAAAGCUAAAAACAUAAUGGUUGGGCCAAGAGUAAACCCUAGCCCAACUUAGCAAGCCCAAUAGGAUUACCAAAGACAACACACACAAGGCCCAUUUGUGUGAUUGGAUAAGUCCACCCAUUCCUCUGUGAAGGUAUAAGGAUAGUUGACAAUCCUUUUAUCAUGCAAAACACCCUGGGAUGAUGUUAUCUGAUCAAGAACAAGUGGCACUAAUAUACCUUAUGGUUUCAGGUAAAACAUGUAUCUGCAUAUCACUAUUUUUCACAGAGGUUAGCAGCUUCGCUUGCUAUCCUAGUACUGAGUCUGUUGCUGUCCUGAGUUUUAAAGUCUGUUAUACUAGUUUAAUAGGUCUUUCAAAUUCAAAUGGACAACUGAGUUUGUGGGAAGUGCCUAGGCGCUCAAACCAGUCUAACGGUUGAGAUCUUUUGUUAUGCCAACCCGUGACCAAAUGGUUUGUUGCUCAAGGCUCCAGCUAGGAUUUUAUGAUACAUUAUCCUAUGCAGAGCUGGUCCCUGUGUGAUUUAAAGACCAGUCGUUAUCAGCUGUGUCAAGGUCCACUAAUGGACUGAGUAAGAGGGUUUGAAACCUCUUUGCUCCCUGUUUUGAAUCGUUCAUGUUUUAGGAAAGGGUUAUUUGUCUUAUUGAGAUUGCUUGUGUCAUCUCUGUGUUUGGACACAUCACUUUCAGUAUGGGAGCCAAACACUUCUGUCCAAACAUUUCUGAAACAUGUUGAGGUCAGCUUGCAUCAUCUUUGAUGCCUUGUCUGCCUAUAUAUAUCUAAAGCUUUGGUUUUGCUCAAUGGUUGUUGAAAACUGUCUUAUUGCGUUUUCUUUAUUGAGUCUAGUUUUAGCUUGCAUUGUUCAUGCUGCUCUAAGUCUUCUUCGCGACUGUAAACCUUAGAGCUUGAACUCAAAACUUCUUUCAUCAACUCAUAUCAUGUUGCAUACCAUGAGGGAUGAGUAGUGUAACCAACCCAAGAAGCGUUCAAGGUUGAAUAAGCUAGUGGUUAGCUGAAUUCACGAACAAGGCUUCUAAAAGUGUUCCAUGUUGUAAGAGCUUAGAAACAAGAGAGGGAAUAGGUCUAGACUAGUUUGGGACUAGGAAGGAUAGCACUGUGGUAGUGUAUCACUAGAACUAUUAUUCUUGUAACGAGUUACUUCAACUUAGUGGAAAGUUUUGUCUCUCAAGAGUUAGAGACACGCAGGUUUUCUCCUUGCAUUCAGGGUUUCUGCGAGUAAAAAACAUCUUUAUGUUGUUUCUUUAUUUGCUGCAAUUUACUUUCUGCAAACUCGUAUCUUGUGAAUCUGGGAUAGCACAAGUCAUUGCUAUCAUCGGAUACAGAAGUCAACGAAAAUUGAAAAAAGACCUAUUCACCCCCCCUCUAGGAAAAUAGAGAGUGUAAAUUUCAAUUUUCUAGAAAAACCAUAAUUGUAGGUCGAUUGAUUUUUUUUUUAUAUAUAUUUUUUGAAAAGGGUCGUUCGAUUUUAUAUCAACCUGAUACAAGAUUUAUGUUCCUUGUUAUGUUGGGAACACUAGAGAACUACUAUCAAAAAGUAGGACCUCACCCUAGCCUUGUUUGCAACGUACUCUAUUAUGUGAUCGAUGCUAUACUCAUUAGAUUUGCUGCAUGCUUAAGAGUAAGAAUCUAAAUCUAUGAAAUUUAAAGAGACUUAAGAGUACACUACAUGAAAAAAAUAAACACUGAUUGACAGGACCCACCCCGAAUUUCACCCUGAAACCCGAGGUAAAUCCUGCGGGGUCCACCUUCAAGGAAAAUUUGCCGAAAAUUCGGCAUAACCUUCCUUAAAAAUGGACAACCCUUACCUGAAAAAUCAAACUUAACACUUUUAUAACCAAACAUCCAUCCUCAACACCUGGAGCCUUCCUGCUCCCCAAGUUCAACACAUCUCCCAAUAACAAUUGCUCAACUCUAAUAAUCCCACAACCAAGAAUAAGGACUAUUAAUAAUUUACUAUUGGACUUUCAGAGCAUAUCUACUGUUGAACGAAAAACAAUAAAUAAAGAAUAAGCGGAAGCAGCCUCUGACUAUGCCUCGACUCCAUGUACGCUCGACCUCACUUAGACUGAGCC
rnacentral:lncRNA from 1 species